rnacentral:rRNA from 1 species
ACUCAAAGGAAUUGACGGGGGCCCGCACAAGCAGCGGAGCAUGUGGUUUAAUUCGACGCAACGCGAAGAACCUUACCUGGGCUUGACAUGUUGGUGACCGCCGUGGAAACACGGUUUUCCUUCGGGACACCAUCACAGGUGGUGCAUGGCUGUCGUCAGCUCGUGUCGUGAGAUGUUGGGUUAAGUCCCGCAACGAGCGCAACCCCCGUCCUAUGUUGCCAGCAUUAAGUUGGGGACUCAUAGGAGACUGCCGGUGACAAACCGGAGGAAGGUGGGGAUGACGUCAAGUCAUCAUGCCCCUUAUGUCCAGGGCUACACACGUGCUACAUUGGCGCAUACAAAGGGCAGCAAUACCGCGAGGUGGAGCAAAUCCCAUAAAGUGCGCCUCGGUUCGGAUUGGAGGCUGAAACUCGCCUCCAUGAAGGUGGAGUUGCUAGUAAUCGCAGAUCAGCAAUGCUGCGGUGAAUACGUUCCCGGGCCUUGUACACACCGCCCGU